AGAGAGAGAGGGACAGAGAGAGAAUUCCAAGCAGCCUCAGCUCUGUCAGUGCAGAGCCCUACGUGGGCUCAUAAACUGUGAGAUCAUAAUCUGAGCCAAGCUAACUGAGCCACCCAGGCGUCUCUAGGUAGAGCCAUUUUAAAAGGACAGAGCCUUGAGCAUGUGUUGCUGAAAGCAUCUGGAGGGGACAGAUGAAGAAACCCAGUUAAGGCCUCUAUACAAAUUUUCACGAUUCUGGAAGGCAGGAAACUGCAUUGCAAAAUAUUUGUCUCCUGUCCACAGAGGUGAAUGCAUUCAAGAAAAAGACAAAAGCAAAGAAGAUAUGGGUCUUCCAAGGAUGAUAGUUGAUCAUACUCUCCUGAGAACUGUGGAUGUCAAUUAGGGCUUUGACCAGGUGUGGCCAAGGGGAUGCCUCUGUUCCAGUCUUCACCUCCUGCACAUGACAUUUUUCUCAUCCAUCCAGAUUCUCCAUGUUUACGAUGCUCUUUACCUUCUGUCCUAAAUUGUUGUUUACUAUGUUUUCCUGCUGCUAAAUUCCUUACUGCAUUUCUCCCUGGAGGAAGGCUGACAAGUCGGCUCAUGCCCACUUUUGUGCAUUUGUGUAAUGUGUUAACUGGCAUGGGUCACCGGAGAAUCGUGGAGUCUGAGAACCAGGGAGGGUAGAGAGCAACUAUUCUGGACACUUGAACAGCAGUCAUCUAACCUGAGGGAGGAGGGACAGGAACGUGAUGGAGAAAGGUGGUCAUGAUCUCAUCAGUCAGUCAUGCUGGAGUUACUGCCAUUUCAUAAGUGUAUGGUCUUGACCCUGUCUGCCACUAAUGCUAACAUCAGACUCAACAGAGAGUAGUUGAAAGCUUUCCUUCUAAGAUCAAGACUAAGACAAGGGUGCCCGCUAUCACCAUCUCCAUUCAACCCAUCACUGGAAGUCCUGGCAAGAACAGUCAGACAAGACAAAGAAAUAAACAACAUCCAAACUGAAAAGGAAGAAGUAAAAUUAUCUCUGUUAUAUGAGGUACCUAGCCAUAAGGACAAAGAGCAGAAUAGAGGGUAUUAGGGGUCCGGAAGAGGGAAAAUGGUAGUUAUUGUUUAAUGGGCACAGAAUUUCUGUUUGGAAUGAUGAAAAAGUAUUGGAUAAUAGUUACGGUUGCAGAACAUUGUGAAUGUACUUAAUGUCACUAAAUUGAUGGUUAAAAAUAGUUAAAUGGUAAAUCCUAUGUUGUGCACAUUAUGCCACAAUAAGAAUAACCUCCCAUAUUAUUAGUUUACAAAUGCUGGGCCAAAAUAUGAUUUAACACAUAUAGCUAUAGAAGGUACACUUAUGUGUCACUUUGAGACACAUGAGUUUUUAUCUAGAUCACAUGAUUCUUGUAAAUUAAGUUUGCUGUUGGGGACUCUGGGUGGCUCAGUCCAUUAAGCGUUUGUUUCUUGGUUUAACCUCAGGUCAUGAUCUCAUGGUUCAUAAGUUUGAGCCCCAUGUUGGGCUCUGUGCUGAUGGUGCAGAGCCUGCUUGGGAUUCUCUGUCUCCCUCUCUCUCUGCCCCCCUUUCUCUCUUGCUCUCAAAAAUGAAUAAAUAAACUAAAAAAAACUUUGCUGUGGAAAUUCUAAGAUUUCCUGUAUGCCUAUGAAAUGUGCAGUGAUAGCUGUUCCUAUGUUGCUUUCAUAGUAGAAUUUCAUUCCCAUUUAAACAGACACAGAUGUCAUUUCUAUAGUAGAAUAAGCUCAUAUACAUUUAUAUCAGUCAUCAAAUUUCAAAUUUAGAAAUCAGCUAUAUUCCGGGAAUGGAUUGAUUCUUUUUCAAUCCAAUUCACAGAAUUUAAGUAAAACUUCUGGAAGUUCAUUAUAUUGAAAGUGAAAUAGCAUUAUUUCGAACAUCUUUGUUAAUUUAUUUAACAAAAAUUGUUUUGAUGUCCAUUUAUUUUUGAGAGAGAGAGAGAGAGAGAGAGUGAGGGAAAGAGAGAGAGCGAGCAGGGGAGGGGCAGAGAGAGUAAG